rnacentral:sRNA from 1 species
ACCAACUUCUCAGAGGGUGAUGUCACCCAUUUCAUCUGCCAGGCUGCUGUGCCCAAGGUUUGUAAAGAUCAGAGUUCAGAGGUGGCCUGGGGACUCCAGGAGAAAAGGCCACUAAGUGGAGGAGAUGGGUGGGAGACAGUGUGAGAUGGGAUUGAGUCAUCUGGAGAUCAGCACUUGGGGAGUUACAGGAAAAGGGUGUGGAGCCACUGAGUAUAGAGGGGCUGCCUGAGCCCUACCUACUGCCAUACUGUGCUCUGUUAAACUCCUGUGUUCAGAGUCUCCAGCUGCAGCUGCAGGCCCCCAGUGGGAACACAGUUCCAGCUCGGGGUGGCCUUCCUAUCACCCAGCUCUUCAGAAUCCUCAAUCCUAACAAGGCCCCCCUGCGGCUAAAGCUGCGCCUCACCUACGACCACUUUCACCAGUCGGUGCAGGAGAUCUUUGAGGUGAACAACUUGCCUGUGGAAUCGUGGCAGUAACUGUCUCCACUCACAGCCUGAAAUUCUCCUGUGUCCCAAACCCCAGGGGGCCCCAGCAGCUUCGAACCUACACCUGAGGGCUACCAGCAGGUGGCGCUCUGGCUUUGCACUGCAAAAACUGGGGACCAGCCCCCUUCUCCCACAAAUAAAGCCCAAUAAAGCCUGAGAAGUGAGGAAAGCCA